rnacentral:rRNA from 1 species
UUCGGCGUUCCGCAUUAUAAUCUCAAGAAGCGUUAUCCGCGUCGGACCAGGUCAAAGUCUUCUGGAAAGGAGCAUCAUGGAGGGUGAAAAUCCCGUGCAUGACCUGGAGCCACCGAAGUACUGUGAUGCGUUUUUUCUCAGAGUCGAGUUGUUUGGGAAUGCAGCUCAAAAUGGGUGGUAAAUGCCAUCUAAGGCUAAAUACAGGGGAGAGACCGAUAGCGAACAAGUACCGUGAGGGAAAGAUGCAAAGAACUUUGGAAAGAGAGUUAAACAGUACGUGAAAUUGCCAGAAGGGAAGGGUAGGAAGUCAGAGAUGCGGGGGCGCAGUUCAGCUGUGUGUCUUUCGGGACGCCGGUGAAGACUGUGUGACUCUGCAGGCCAACGUCGGUUCUGUGGCGCGGGAAAGCGGGGUUGGGAAUGUGGCAUCUUCUUCGGAAGGUGUGUUUAUAGACCSACUCUUGGACUGGACCAGCGACUGGGACCGUGGUUUUACACAGUGUGAUGCUGUUAGGGGAGCAAUCU